AUGCCAUCGUCUCUGACGGACAUCCCUGACCACCUACUGGCCGAGAUCUUCCUCCGCCUGCCCGACCCGGCCGACCUCGCCCGCGCCUCCGCCGCCUGCCUCACCUUCCACCGACUCGCCACCGACCGCUACUUUCUCCGCCGCUUCCGCUGCCUCCACGCACCACCACUCCUCGGCUUCCUCGACCGCGACGGGUUCCAUCCAGCACUAGCGCCUCACCCCUCCGCACCCGCCGCCCGCGCGCUCGCCCUUGCCGCCGAUUUCUCCUUCUCUUUCCUUCCCUCCCAUCGCCUUUGGACCGUGCAGGACAGCCGCGACGGCCGCGUCCUCCUCCAGCGCGGGCCCGAAAUGGGCGAGGUGGCCCUGAUCUUCCGGGAGCUCGCCGUGUGUGACCCUUUCCACCGGUGGCAUCUCAUGCUCCCCCCAGUACCUCGCGACCUAGUCGCUUCGGUACUUCGGUAG
rnacentral:rRNA from 1 species